AUCACUUGGCCCACCAGACAUUUUUAGCUGUGUCCCAGUUGCACACUACAAACGGGUUCUAAGUGGAUUUGGUGCAUCGCCACCUUUAUGUGGAUUACAUAUCAGUGUUGAUGGUAGAUGUUGGCGAUUUAAGAAAUAACCUCGUCAGUAUUUGUAGAGAGGAGGAG